rnacentral:rRNA from 1 species
GACGAACGCUGGCGGCGUGCCUAAUACAUGCAAGUAGAACGCUGAAGGAGGAGCUUGCUUCUCUGGAUGAGUUGCGAACGGGUGAGUAACGCGUAGGUAACCUGCCUGUUAGCGGGGGAUAACUAUUGGAAACGAUAGCUAAUACCGCAUAAGAGUAGAUGUUGCAUGACAUUUGCUUAAAAGGUGCAAUUGCAUCACUACCAGAUGGACCUGCGUUGUAUUAGCUAGUUGGAGGGGUAACGGCUCACCAAGGCGACGAUACAUAGCCGAACUGAGACGGGGCUCGGCCACACUGGGACUGAGACACGGCCCAGACGGCUACGGGAGGCAGCAGUAGGGAAUCUUCGGCAAUGGGCGGAAGUCUGACCGAGAAACGCCGCGGGAGUGAAGAAGGUUUUCGGGUCGUAAAGCUCUGUUGUAAGAGAAGAACGAGUGUGAGAGUGGAAAGUUCACACUGUGACGGUAACUUACCAGAAAGGAACGGCUAACUACGUG